rnacentral:rRNA from 2 species
AACUCCGGGAAACCGGGGCUAAUACCGGAUAAUUCUUUCCCUCACAUGAGGGAAAGCUGAAAGAUGGUUUCGGCUAUCACUUACAGAUGGGCCCGCGGCGCAUUAGCUAGUUGGUGAGGUAACGGCUCACCAAGGCGACGAUGCGUAGCCGACCUGAGAGGGUGAUCGGCCACACUGGGACUGAGACACGGCCCAGACUCCUACGGGAGGCAGCAGUAGGGAAUCUUCCGCAAUGGACGAAAGUCUGACGGAGCAACGCCGCGUGAGUGAUGAAGGUUUUCGGAUCGUAAAACUCUGUUGUUAGGGAAGAACAAGUACCGGAGUAACUGCCGGUACCUUGACGGUACCUAACCAGAAAGCCACGGCUAACUACGUGCCAGCAGCCGCGGUAAUACGUAGGUGGCAAGCGUUGUCCGGAAUUAUUGGGCGUAAAGCGCGCGCAGGCGGUUCCUUAAGUCUGAUGUGAAAGCCCCCGGCUCAACCGGGGAGGGUCAUUGGGAAACUGGGGGAACUUGAGUGCAGAAGAGAAGAGUGGAAUUCCACGUGUAGCGGUGAAAUGCGUA